AUUGAACGCUGGCGGCAGGCCUAACACAUGCAAGUCGAACGAGUGGCGGACGGGUGAGUAAUAUCUGGGAAACUGCCUGAUGGAGGGGGAGAACUACUGGAAACGCUAGCGAAUACCGCAUACCAUCAGAUGUGCCCAGAUGGGAUUAGCUAGUAGGUGGGGUAACGGCUCACCUAGGCGACGAGCCCUAGCUGGUCUGAGAGGAUGCCCAGCCACACUGGAACUGAGACACGGUCCAGACUCCUACGUGAGGCAGCAGUGGGGAAUAUUGCACAAUGGGCGCAAGCCUGAUGCAGCCAUGCCGCGUGUAUGAAGAAGGCCUUCGGGUUGUAAAGUACUUUCAGCGGGGAGGCGUUACCCGCAGAAGAAGCACCGGCUAACUCCGUGCCAGCAGCCGCGGUAAUAC
rnacentral:rRNA from 1 species